AUCUCUCCUUGUCGAUCUUGUCGAUUUUCUGGGAGGACUUUUCAAAAGAGUAAAAUGACUCCGAGCUAUAUAAAGAAACGUGAGGGGGGUGGCGUGCACGCGAAGCGCAACGUAACACACGUUGCUACGAUGUCGUCGGAGUAAUUUGGGUGCACGCUGCGACGAGAGAUCACCUGUCACAAGUUCUUUCUGGCAACAUAAACGGCGUCGUUUAAUAUUUUGUAUACGCCGAGUUAGGCGGUGGCGACGGGGGGCUCCUUUCCAUUUCGGCGCCCCCCUUUUACGUGAAAUCCCAUCGCGAAACCGCAAAGUUUGGUUGUUAUAAACGUUAAAUGCAACCCUUUAUAGUUCGAAAGAGUAUUAAACGUUUUGAAUUGAAAACCGGAUUGGAUUUGGUAUCAUUGCAGAACUAUGAAGUCAUUCAAUACAAACAAAGAUGCUCGUUCGAGAGGUAAAUCGCGUAAAUCUUCUUAAAUCACCUAUAAAUCGAUUUAAUCGGGCUUUAUUUUAUAUUCCCACAUCUCCAGUUUUAGUUGGUAUCAUUGCAUAACGAAGUUCUUCAAUACAAACAAAGACGAUCUUUCAAGAAGUGAAUAAAAUUAAGCGUAAUUCUUCUUAAAUCCCCUAUAAAUCGAUAUCCUUUAUUAAUCGGGGUUAAUUUUAUAUUCCCACAUCUCCAGUUUUAGGUGGUAUCAUUGCAUAACUUAACCUGAACUUAACGCUCUUCAAUACAAACAAAGACGAUGUUUCAAAAAGUGAAUAAAAUUAAACGUAAUUCUUCUUAAAUCACCUAUAAAUCGAUAUCCUUUAUUAAUCGGGCUUUAUUUUAUAUUCCCAUAUCUCCAGUUUUAGUUGGUAUCAUUGCAUAACAAAGUUCUUCAAUACAAACAAACACGAUCUUUCAAGAAGUGAAUAAAAUUAAGUGUAAAUCUUCUUAAAUCACUCAUAAAUCCCAUCUCCAGUUUUAGUUGGUAUCAUUGCAUAAUUUGACGUUCUUCAAUACAAACAAAGACGAUCUUUCAAGAGGCUAAUAAAAUUAAUCAAAAAUCUUCUUAAAUCACCUAUAAAUCGAUAUCCUUUAUUAAAUCCAGGUUAAAUUUAUAUUCCCUCAUCCCCAGGUACUUACUAUUGAUUGUUGAAGAUGUUUGAAAAUCCGUAUCUGCGAAAUUAACAAGGUCAUAACAUUGAUAUCGGGGGCAGUUUCAUCCCCCUUUCGACCUUUUCGGGGGUUAAGUGGCGCUCCCAUUUACGACUAUUAAUUAUGCAGGACCCCUGUAUUACUUACCUUCUUGGUGCCAGGACUCCCUCCAGUCCGCCGGGAAUCCUGCUGCAAUGAAAUAACAACAGGCAAUGAGUCUAAAAUCGUUCUAAAUUCAAGAUUCAACUAAAGAUGGGGCACAACUUGAAGACAUCAGAAAAUGAUUUAUG
rnacentral:lncRNA from 1 species